ACUCCUACGGGAGGCAGCAGUAAGGAAUAUUGGACAAUGGCCGCAAGGCUGAUCCAGCCAUGCCGCGUGCAGGAAGACGGACCUAUGGUUUGUAAACUGCUUUUGAACUAGAGAAAACCCCUCUUCGUGAAGAGGGCUGGUAGUAUAGUUAGAAUAAGCAUCGGCUAACUUCGUGCCAGCAGCCGCGGUAAU
rnacentral:rRNA from 1 species